rnacentral:rRNA from 1 species
GUGGGGAAUAUUGGACAAUGGGCGAAAGCCUGAUCCAGCCAUGCCGCGUGUGUGAAGAAGGUCUUCGGAUUGUAAAGCACUUUAAGUUUGGAGGAAGGGUAGUAACCUAAUACGUUGCUACUUUGACGUUACCGACAGAAUAAGCACCGGCUAACUUCGUGCCAGCAGCCGCGGUAAUACGAAGGGUGCAAGCGUUAAUCGGAAUUACUGGGCGUAAAGCGCGCGUAGGUGGUUUUGUAAGUUGGAGGUGAAAUCCCCGGGCUCAACCUGGGAACUGCCUCCAAAACUGCAUGACUAGAGUACGGUAGAGGGUAGUGGAAUUUCCUGUGUAGCGGUGAAAUGCGUAGAUAUAGGAAGGAACACCAGUGGCGAAGGCGACUACCUGGACUGAUACUGACACUGAGGUGCGAAAGCGUGGGGAGCAAACAGGAUUAGAUACCCUUGUAGUCC